rnacentral:rRNA from 1 species
GAUGAACGCUAGCUACAGGCUUAACACAUGCAAGUCGAGGGGAAACGAUAUUGGAAGCUUGCUUCCGAUAGGCGUCGACCGGCGCACGGGUGAGUAACGCGUAUCCAACCUGCCCAUCACUUGGGGAUAACCUUGCGAAAGUAAGACUAAUACCCAAUGACGUCUCUAGAAGACAUCUGAAAGAGAUUAAAGAUUUAUCGGUGAUGGAUGGGGAUGCGUCUGAUUAGCUUGUUGGCGGGGUAACGGCCCACCAAGGCGACGAUCAGUAGGGGUUCUGAGAGGAAGGUCCUCCACAUUGGAACUGAGACACGGUCCAAACUCCUACGGGAGGCAGCAGUGAGGAAUAUUGGUCAAUGGACGAGAGUCUGAACCAGCCAAGUAGCGUGCAGGAAGACGGCCCUAUGGGUUGUAAACUGCUUUUAUAAGGGAAUAAAGUGAGUCUCGUGAGACUUUUUGCAUGUACCUUAUGAAUAAGGACCGGCUAAUUCCGUGCCAGCAGCC